GACGAACGCUGGCGGCGUGCCUAAUACAUGCAAGUAGAACGCUGAAGGAGGAGCUUGCUUCUCUGGAUGAGUUGCGAACGGGUGAGUAACGCGUAGGUAACCUGCCUGGUAGCGGGGGAUAACUAUUGGAAACGAUAGCUAAUACCGCAUAACAGUAGAUGUUGCAUGACAUUUGCUUAAAAGGUGCAAUUGCAUCACUACCAGAUGGACCUGCGUUGUAUUAGCUAGUUGGUGGGGUAACGGCUCACCAAGGCGACGAUACAUAGCCGACCUGAGAGGGUGAUCGGCCACACUGGGACUGAGACACGGCCCAGACUCCUACGGGAGGCAGCAGUAGGGAAUCUUCGGCAAUGGACGGAAGUCUGACCGAGCAACGCCGCGUGAGUGAAGAAGGUUUUCGGAUCGUAAAGCUCUGUUGUAAGAGAAGAACGAGUGUGAGAGUGGAAAGUUCACACUGGACGGUAUCUACCAGAAAGGA
rnacentral:rRNA from 1 species